CCUACGGGAGGCAGCAGUAGGGAAUCUUCCACAAUGGGCGAAAGCCUGAUGGAGCAACGCCGCGUGGGUGAAGAAGGUCUUCGGAUCGUAAAACCCUGUUGUUAGAGGAGAAAGUGCGUGAGAGUAACUGUUCACGUUUCGACGGUAUCUAACCAGAAAGCCACGGCUAACUACGUGCCAGCAGCCGCGGUAAUACGUAGGUGGCAAGCGUUAUCCGGAUUUAUUGGGCGUAAAGGGAACGCAGGCGGUCUUUUAAGUCUGAUGUGAAAGCUUUCGGCUUAACCGGAGUAGUGCAUUGGAGACUGGGAGACUUGAGUGCAGAAGAGGAGAGUGGAACUCCAUGUGUAGCGGUGAAAUGCGUAGAUAUAUGGCAGAACACCAGUGGCGAAAGCGGCUCUCUGGUCUGUAACUGACGCUGAGGUUCGAAAGCGUGGGUAGCAAACAGGAUUAGAUACCCUUGUAGUC
rnacentral:rRNA from 1 species